AUAAUAUAUUUAUUAUUAUUAUUAAACAUAUAAAUAUAUAGAUAUAAAAAUAUUAUUUUUAAUUAAUUUAAGUUUUUAAGAGUUGAACGUCUGUUUUGUAUUAUUUAACACAAUAUCAAAGCAGGAGAUCGUUAAGUUUAAAUUAUAUCAGACUCCUAGCUAGUAUAAUUUAUUUCCUCCUAUUUAAUUUAAAUUCACGUCAUAAUUUUCAAGCAUUACAAUAUUUUACUAGCUUAAGCUUUUAUUCAUGAAUCGUCUUCUAUUGAGUACUGGAGGCAAAAAUAAAAAAUCACAAAAUAUAAUUUAUUGGAGUUCCAUCAAUUAGAUCAUACUAUUCAACCGACCACCCACUCAAUCCCAGAGGGACCACUAUCAUCCUAACUGCAUAUUUAUUCAUCCAAAUGUUAACUUGGUGUGUGUGUGUGUGUGAGAGAGAGAGAGAGAGCUAGAAUACUCUCAAAAGCACUAAGGGGGUGGUGUGUGUAUAGUUGAGCUAGAAUAUUCUCAAAAGCACUAAUGCUUUUGAGUUUUUAACCAUUUGAUGGAGAGAUGUAGGGUUGAGAUUAUGGUGGUAGGUGGCGGUAGGUGGAAUAGUGUUUGAUCCAAAGGAUAUUAGUAAUUAAGGAGUAAAUCCAAGAGCUAGAAACUUAGAAGCCACAAGGGAAUGCGUGCUUUGAAAAAUUUCUAGCUCAAUUAUUAUAUAUAUAUAUUAUAUAUAUAUAUAUAUAUAUAUAUAUAUAUAUAUAUAGUUGAGUUGGAAUGCUAUCAGUAGCAAACGGGCUCUGUUGCCACCCAUUUGUUUUCGAUGAUGGAGUCAUCAAAUCGACAAUCGGCACCAUUGAACAUACAGCUCAACUAUAUAUAUAUAUAUAUAUAUAUAAUUAUGCUACUAUACUAUCAAUAGUACCAAGCCUUUGGUACUAUUGAGUUUCGGCCGUUGGAUGAAAGGAUGUGCAGUUAGGAUGAUAGUUGGUGAUAGGAAGCGAUUCUGUGAAAGUGAUCAUUAUCUAACGGGUGGAUAUGAUCAAAGAGUAGAUCUAACGGUAGAAAACUCAAUAGUACCAAAGGCUUGGUACUAUCAAUAGAAUAAUAGCCGGACUCUAUAUAUAUAUAGUGCUACUGUGCUAUUAAGAGCACAGGAGCUCUUGUGCUUCGGAGUUUCUAGCCAUCUGUCAAUUUUUAAUGGGUGGUUAGGGUGAGGAAAAAAAGUGAAAUUAGAAAGAAAUUCAAAGAGAAAAAAAAUUAAGAAAUCCAAUUUCUCAUCUCUUUCUCACCCUAACUAUCUAUCAAAAUUAAUAAAUAGUUAGAAUUUAGAAGUACACGGGAUGUUAUACUUCUCACAGUAGCUCUGCUCUACAUAUAUAUGUAGAGAGAGAGAGAGAGAGAGAGAAAAUAUGACUACUAUCGAUAGUACAGUACCUCUUGGUACCUAGAGGUAUAGUAACAUAUGUUGUACUUCUAGUACCUCUUUAAUUGUACUAUCGAUAGAAUUAUACUAUUCAAUCAACCACCAACUCAACUAUCCGGGGACCACUAUCAUCCUAACCGCACGUAUAGUCAUCUAAUGGCCGAAAAUUUAUGAGUACAAAGUGGUUUAUACUCAUAAGAGUAUAGUAACCCUAAUAUAUAUAUAUAUAUAUAUAUAUAUAUAUAGAGAGAGAGAGAGAGAGAGAGAGAGAGAGAGAGAGUCCAGCUAUUAUACUUUUAUGAAUACGAUCGUUUUCGAACUCAUAAGUUAUUUUUGAUAAUAGAGCUUUUGAAUUGAUGAUCCAUACCAGUAAACGUUAUUUAAAGCAUUUAAAACUUCUAUAAAUCAAAUUUAUAAUUUUUUGACAUUAUUUACCUUACGAUCAAAAGAUCUCACAAUUGACAAUUUUUAACGGUCGGUAUAGGAUGCUUGCUAGUUUAAUAGUAUAAAAGAAUCGAAAUCAGUUUAAUUUUUGAUAGAAAAUUUUAUUCACUAUCUAGACAAAGAUUAAUAACUUCGAUCUUAAAUUGAAAGAUCUGAUCAUCUAUUUUUAGGACGUCGUUCAAUUUUGACCGUUCAUUUUAUACUUGCUUGAUGGAUUUUAUUAUGAUUUCGAAUAAUUACGAAAUUUUUAUUAAAAAAUUUUAAAUAUUCUAGAUCAUAUUUAACGGAGUAAAUUGCCAAUU
rnacentral:lncRNA from 1 species